ACUCGAAGUUUUACAGACUGCCGUCAUAUAGCUGUAAUAUUGCUGAGUGCGGCGUUAAACAACAAACAAACAAACAAACAGUUACAGUGUCAAACUAAUAAUAUCAUUGAGCUUUAAUGAGUUUAUUUUUUCAAGUAUUUAAGGACGAUAAAGUCAGACCAAAUUCAGCUCCCGUGACGUGGAUGAAUCUGCCAAGUGAUUGAUUGCUUAAACAUAUUUUGUAACUUUGAACUAUUUUGUAACAAACAGCUGUGUUUGUAUAUUUUCGUUUUCUUCCAUAAUACAUGACCAAAUGACAGCCCUUCAUACCAUGUACCCGUACAUGUUUGAAAAGAGGCAAAUUUCGAACAGCCAUAAAUGACAUCACGUUUUUGUCAAUCGUCCAGGCGCCAGGUAUCGUAUGCCGCACAGACACUCGACUAUGAAGCAUAGUCUUGCAUGUAAGAUUAAGAAUGUGUCAGUUUAUAUGGGACCAGUGAAGCUUGAGGGCCCCGAUAAGCCUAAGUCUAACCCAUGACGUCAUCCGAUCCAGGUAAGAGACAGACUAGCACCGCAACUGUGGAAUAAGUUUUGCACUAUGUUGUAUUAGGAUCAGAAAGAAUUUUACUCAAUUGAAUAUUUAUGAUAUUAGUAUACCUGUCCUAUACAACAACUUUAAUGUCCUUCCGACCUUCCCCCGUUUUGUUUUGCCUGGCAUUCAGAUGUGAGGAAAAGGGAGGGCUCGAGGAACGUUAAAGUGACCUGGUGGAGAGCGCCCCCUUGUGGAGAGACGUCUGUUGGUUUUGUGUUAUACGAUAGGACAUUGCAGAAUGGGACACCUCUCUGUGCCCUCACCUAUUUUUAUAGGGUACAGGUGUAGUCAGCCGUGGUUAAGUGGGUAACAAUAGGGGGUUUACCUAUAGUAUGUUGCAUAUCUAUAUAGAGAAAAUUACUAUCUGUCAGAUUCGUAAAAUUUCAUAUACAUUUCAACAGUACAUUCACUUUACAGAAGCAUAUAUUUAAUAAAAUUUCAUGUUUCAUAUUGACAGAUUACGUAUUGCAUAAAUAAAUAUUCAUUUCAAAUUCACUUUACAGCAGAAAUAUUCAGUUCACAAUCCAACAUAUUCAGCCACAGCAUCAGCAUAUUCAGUUGGUGUCAGUCUGCCAUUCAACAAGUUGUCCUUCUCUAUCAGGAUGUUGUCGUCAAAUUGGAGAUAUUACUUUCUCUUUGGUGGCAGUCUUCCUCCGGCAUGAAUUUGCAUCCAUAAUGUCUCUGAACGUGAUUGUUCAUUCUUGAUAAUGUCAAUAAAUUUAAAGAUGUUUGGAUGACCUGGGAUGUUAUGGCAGUAUGACUUGCAAUGCCAUUCUAUACACUUCCAAGAUUGACAUCAUUCACUCAUAUAAAAUUUUAAUCAUCCCUAUGCCUUUAAUCAUGUACAUAAGAAAACUGUUCACCUAUUAUCAUCAAAUAACAGUUAGACACUAAUUGAACAGAGUUCACCCUCAGAAGAGGGUUCACUUUAAUGACACAGACUAUACCAAGCGAUUAAGUUAUCUGUCUCUUAAUCCCCUAUAAUCCACUGUAACAACAUUUUGGAUGAGGGCACAGUGAGGUUACACCUGCAGAAUGUUCAUCAGGAUAUGCAUACUGAUAUCAUAAUAUCAUAAAUAUACUAAUUUAUUAAAACAUGAAUUGUAAAUGGAAAUCAAUUUCGACCAUAUUUAAAAAUUAGCCUCUUCUUUAUGCCACAUCACAUAGGCAAUAUAUCUUGUGCAACAAAGUUAAAACAUUUAGUAGGAAUUCUUUUACUUCAGUAGGACACUUGGAAUGGCCAGGCACAUUCACAGAAGAGAAGGCAGCAUCAAAUGCAGCAAAGCCUUAGAUUUAAGGCAACAAUUAAGUUUUGGGAGAAAGUAGGGGUUAGGGAACUCAAGUAUUAGACCCUGUCGUUCAUGCCCUCAUCUGUCCUUUAAAUUAAGGUAUUGACUUUCGAUAACAAGCCACGAAAAGGCAUUGUAUUUGGUCAAUAUAAUAUGGCUAUUCUGGUGUUAAAUGAUAUCUUACACUUAUUUAUGCUCUAAUGGUGUUUGGGGAUAUAAUGUCAAAUGACUGGUUAAAAGCUCGAUUGAUAAAUAACAUUGAACACCGGUGAGUAUACUGUAAUAGUGUAUUUGGAUGUACAAAUAGAGCCAUUCUGAUACUGGAAAUCUUUUAAAAAGACCUUAUACCACUGCUUGAAAACGCAUUAGGCCUUACGUACAUGAAAACUUUGAUCCUUGGCUUCAAAAAAUAUCAAUUAAAGUCCUUGAAUUUGAGCUUUAUCAUGAAACAUGUGUGGAAUGGCCUUGUCCAUCUACGGGUUAGUUGUCAAUUGAAACUUCACAGCGGAGAGAUUACUUACUGUAAAAGGUGACUAUGCUUGUCGUAAGACCUGGUUGAUGCAUGUCAUCGUAUCCCAAUGCGUCGAUCGAUCCUGUUGGGUAGAGUGUCGGGUAGAUGCAGAAGACACACACCCUCCUCCUGCCCUCCUCUUCCCGACCCUCUCCAUCCUGCUCCUUCUUCUUUCCCAAAUCUUUCUUCUCCCCCAAAUCCUUCUCCUCUCGCAAACGCUGCCCUUCUUCUCCAUCCUCUUCCUCUUCCCCAUCCUUCUUCUCUCCCAAAUCUGUCUUCUCUCCCAAGUCCUCCUCUCCCAAAUCCUUCUCCUCUUCCCAAUCUAUCUUCUCUCCCAAAUCCCCCUCCUCUUCCCCAGCCUCUUCCUCUUCUCCAUCCUCCUCUUCCCCAUCCUUCUCUUCCCCAUCCUUCUCUUCUCCCAAAUCUUUCUUCUCUAAAUUCCCCUCUUCUUACCCAGCCACUUCCUCUUCCCCUGCCUCUUCUGUCUUCCUCCUCCUUCCUAUCCUCCCUGAAUGUCAGCAGUAGGUCUGGGAGACGACGAUGAUUUGGGGGACAUAUCAGUCGAUUCUCUCGAUUCCGACUCCGAGUCCGACUCCCAGGCAGAGAUAAGCGGUAAGUAACAGUAAUUCAUUUUCAGUAAAUUGAGUAUGUCAGUGUCAAAGAAAUGGUGGGAAUAUGAAUUUGUUAUGUUUUUGCAGUUUUCGUAAUUGUAGGCUAGAUCCACUCGUGACAGUUGUGAUGUUUCAAAUGUUAACAUUAUCUACCAUACCAUGAGGUCAUAGUAGAAACAGCCGACGUCCUUGUUUAGUAUUUCAUGAAAUAUGAAUCUUAGAAAUGAUUUGAAAGAAGGGCUCUCAUGAUAGUGAAGUUUUAACAUGUCUACAUGUGGCCUACACGUGCUUUUGGUUAAGUGCAGUGAUAUUAAUGGAAAAAUGUCUUUGUUAAAAAUUAAAAUUAUCUUGAAGGACACACUAGUUCACACUUUGGACCUGAAGCCAUAUUUUUAAAUGAGUAUAAUGAGUCAGUCCUCAAAUAUAAAAUGACAUUCUGCACAGGAGGAAUGGAAUGCCGAGCUCUUUCGUUAGGAAACGACCACAUGGGGGCUCGACAGUUGUGAGAAGACAGGGUCCACUGCUGGCAGUGCUCUUUUCAGACAGGAAGGUCUUCACAACCCUAUCUACUAUGGGUAGUCAAAGAAUCGAAGAUGGGCUUAACUCAAGGGGCCGGUCUGUCACUCUCCCCUCAGUCGUUAGACUUUACAACACUCUAAUGGGGGGAGUUGACAUUGGGGAUCAACUCAUUGGUGUCUAUGAUCCCCGCAAGUCCGCUCCGUGAAGCUGUGGAAGAAAGUUGUAAUCAACUUUCGUCUCACAGCAUCAGUUAAAGCAUAUCAGACAUUCUUGAACACUCAUGGCAGAACGACCACCCGUCUGGACUUCCACAUGUCUCUUCUCCACUCACUCGUCAAGAACACUCAGGUGAAGAGGAGGACUGGCAGGCCCAGGAUCCAGCCUCCUUCCCGACGACUGACCGGACGUCACUUCAUGGAAGUGCUGCCUGAAGGGAAGCGGAAACAGUGUGUUCUCUGCAGAAAGAGACAGAGGACCAUCGAUGGCUCCGCAGGAAAGGUCAGGACCUGGUGUCCUGACUGCCACGUUGGCCUCUGUGCACGCUGUUUACAUCAGUAUCACACAGCUGAUCACUUUGAAGAGUGAAAGGCUGUGUGUACUGGCAUAUGAUAGAACAUACACUCAUGUUCCAUCAUAUCAAUCCUUUAAGCAGUUUCCCCAUCUGUGACGUCAGAAACCUAUGAUUGUGGGUUCGAAUCCCGGUCGCCCCGGUCAUGUUUCUAGGUUUGUCAGCACCAUACCCGUGCUCGUGGGUUUCACCGAAGUGGUAAACGUCUGAGACCUACAUCACUUCGGGCUUUCCUCCAACAUUAAGCUGACACGCCGCGAUAUAACUGGAAUACUGUUAAAAGCGGCGUUAAACCCAACUCACUCACUCACUCACUCACUCCCCAUCUGUGUGCUUCAUUGUAAAUAACUAGUGAGCGAGUAGGACUUACGCCACACUUGCAAUAUCCAAGCGACAUCACAGCGAGAUAUUGUAUAUAUGUACUCAUUGUAAAUUUUUCAAAUGUGUGUAUAUAUAUUAAAGGAUGAUAUUGUGGAGAGAGUAUGACGUACAUAUGUUCAUAUUAUGUUCUCUUUUUAUUGUACAUGUAAUUAUUGUGUGUAUGUAAGCAUCUGUUCGUGAGUAGGACUUCCCACUGCAUCUGCAAUAUUCCAGCAACAUCGCAGCGAAUCUUUGUAAAUAGAUAAUACAUAUAUUGUAUAUAAUGUACUCAUUGUAAAUUUUUCAUAUGCGUGUAUAUAUAUUAAAGGAUGAUAUUGUGAGAGAGUAUGGCGUAACACCGUAUUUGCAAUAUAACAGCAACAUCAUGGCGAUUCAUUGUAAAAAGAUCAUUGUCUAUUGUAUAUGAUUAUGUACUUAUUGUAUAUGAAGUGAGUUUGUUUUAUGCCUCUUUUAGCAAUAUUCCCGCAAAAAUAUGUCAGUUUAAUGUACAUAUGUUCAUAUUAUGUUCUCUUUUUAUUGUACAUGUAAUUAUUGUGUGUAUGUAAGGAUCUGUUUGUGAGUAGAACUUCCCACGGCAUCUGCAAUAUUCCAGCAACAUCGCAGCGAAUCUAUGUAACUAGAUUAUGUAUAUAGUAUAUAUCUACUUACUGUAAGUACUCAAUAUAUAUAUAUCUGUGAGAAAGUAUGACUCAAUGCUGUAUUUGCAAUAUAACAGCAACAUCACAGCGAUUCAUUGUAAAUAGAUUAAAUUAUAUUGAUGAUACAUUUGCGAUAUUCCAGUUAAUUCGUGGCGAUUCAUUGUAUAUGGAUUAUUGAUCUUUUUUCACAAUUAUGUACUUCGUGUAAAUAGAGUGAGUAUGAUUAAUGCCGCUUUCAGCAGUAUUCCAGCAAAGAUGCGGCACUUUUUAAAAAAACUUUAUUGUACAUAGUUGAUAUAUUAUUCACAUGUAAAUACUGUCAAUAAAUAUGCAUAUAUUUAGA